AUUGAACGCUGGCGGCAGGCCUAACACAUGCAAGUCGAACGAUGAAGCUGGAGCUUGCUCCGGUGGAUUAGUGGCGAACGGGUGAGUAACACGUGAGCAAUCUGCCCUUGACUCUGGGAUAACUGCGGGAAACUGUAGCUAAUACCGGAUACGACGCCUUGGGGCAUCCCACGGGCGUGGAAAGAAUUUCGGUCAAGGAUGAGCUCGCGGCCUAUCAGCUAGUUGGUGAGGUAAUGGCUCACCAAGGCGACGACGGGUAGCCGGCCUGAGAGGGUGACCGGCCACACUGGGACUGAGACGCGGCCCAGACUCCUACGGGAGGCAGCAGUGGGGAAUAUUGCGCAAUGGGCGAAAGCCUGACGCAGCAACGCCGCGUGAGGGAUGAAGGCCUUCGGGUUGUAAACCUCUUUUAUCAGGGAAGAAGCGAAAGUGACGGUACCUGAAGAAAAAGCACCGGCUAACUACGUGCCAGCCGCCGCUGUAACAC
rnacentral:rRNA from 1 species